rnacentral:rRNA from 1 species
AACGAACGCUGGCGGCAUGCCUAACACAUGCAAGUCGAACGAAGCCUUCGGGCUUAGUGGCGCACGGGUGCGUAACGCGUGGGAAUCUGCCCUUUGGUUCGGAAUAACAGUUGGAAACGACUGCUAAUACCGGAUGAUGACGAAAGUCCAAAGAUUUAUCGCCAGAGGAUGAGCCCGCGUAGGAUUAGCUAGUUGGUGUGGUAAAGGCGCACCAAGGCGACGAUCCUUAGCUGGUCUGAGAGGAUGAUCAGCCACACUGGGACUGAGACACGGCCCAGACUCCUACGGGAGGCAGCAGUGGGGAAUAUUGGACAAUGGGCGAAAGCCUGAUCCAGCAAUGCCGCGUGAGUGAUGAAGGCCUUAGGGUUGUAAAGCUCUUUUACCCGGGAUGAUAAUGACAGUACCUGAAGAAUAAGCAUCGGCUAACUCCGUGCCAGCCGCCGCGGUAA